rnacentral:rRNA from 2 species
UACAGAGGUGGCAAGCGUUGUUCGGAAUUACUGGGCGUAAAGGGCGCGUAGGCGGCCUUGUAAGUCUCGUGUGAAAGCCCUCGGCUUAACUGAGGAUCUGCACGGGAUACUGCGAGGCUUGAGUUCGGGAGAGGAAAGCGGAAUUCCGGGUGUAGCGGUGAAAUGCGUAGAUAUCCGGAGGAACACCAGUGGCGAAGGCGGCUUUCUGGACCGACACUGACGCUGAGUGCGCGAAAGCUAGGGGAGCAAACGGG